CCAGUAGCUCAGUGGUAGAGCACCUGUUUUGCAAUCAGGAGGUCAAGGGUCCAAUUCCCUUCUGGUCC
rnacentral:tRNA from 1 species